rnacentral:rRNA from 1 species
AAUUCGAUGCAACGCGAAAACCUUACCACCUUUGACAUGGCAGGAAGUUCCAGAGAUGGAUUCGUGCUCGAAAGAGAACCUGCACACAGGUGCUGCAUGGCUGUCGUCAGCUCGUGUCGUGAGAUGUUGGGUUAAGUCCCGCAACGAGCGCAACCCUUGCCAUCAGUUGCUACGAAAGGGCACUCUGAUGGGACUGCCGGUGACAAACCGGAGGAAGGUGGGGAUGACGUCAAGUCCUCAUGGCCCUUAUAGGUGGGGCUACACACGUCAUACAAUGGCCGGUACAAAGGGCAGCAAACCCGCGAGGGGGAGCCAAUCCAUCAAAGCCGGUCGUAGUCCGGAUCGCAGUCUGCAACUCGACUGCGUGAAGUCGGAAUCGCUAGUAAUCGUGGAUCAGCAUGUCACGGUGAAUACGUUCCCGGGUCUU